rnacentral:rRNA from 1 species
AGAGUUUGAUCAUGGCUCAGGACGAACGCUGGCGGCGUGCCUAACACAUGCAAGUCGAGCGGAGACAGGGAGUAGCUUGCUAUGAGCUGUUUUAGCGGCGGACGGGUGAGUAACGCGUGAGCAACCUUUCCCAGACAGGGGAAUAACACACCGAAAGGUGUACUAAUACCGCAUAAGACCACGGGAUCACAUGGUUCUGAGGUAAAAAGAUUUAUCGGUUUGGGGUGGGCUCGCGUCCGAUUAGGUAGUUGGUGAGGUAACGGCCCACCAAGCCGACGAUCGGUAGCCGACCUGAGAGGGUGAUCGGCCACAUUGGGACUGAGACACGGUCCAAACUCCUACGGGAGGCAGCA